rnacentral:rRNA from 1 species
GAUGAAGGUUUUCGGAUCGUAAAGCUCUGUUGUUAGGGAAGAACAAGUACCGUUCGAAUAGGGCGGUACCUUGACGGUACCUAACCAGAAAGCCACGGCUAACUACGUGCCAGCAGCCGCGGUAAUACGUAGGUGGCAAGCGUUGUCCGGAAUUAUUGGGCGUAAAGGGCUCGCAGGCGGUUUCUUAAGUCUGAUGUGAAAGCCCCCGGCUCAACCGGGGAGGGUCAUUGGAAACUGGGGAACUUGAGUGCAGAAGAGGAGAGUGGAAUUCCACGUGUAGCGGUGAAAUGCGUAGAGAUGUGGAGGAACACCAGUGGCGAAGGCGACUCUCUGGUCUGUAACUGACGCUGAGGAGCGAAAGCGUGGGGAGCGAACAGGAUUAGAUACCCUGGUAGUCCACGCCGUAAACGAUGAGUGCUAAGUGUUAGGGGGUUUCCGCCCCUUAGUGCUGCAGCUAACGCAUUAAGCACUCCGCCUGGGGAGUACGGUCGCAAGACUGAAACUCAAAGGAAUUGACGGGGGCCCGCACAAGCGGUGGAGCAUGUGGUUUAAUUCGAAGCAACGCGAAGAACCUUACCAGGUCUUGACAUCCUCUGACAAUCCUAGAGAUAGGACGUCCCCUUCGGGGGCAGAGUGACAGGUGGUGCAUGGUUGUCGUCAGCUCGUGUCGUGAGAUGUUGGGUUAAGUCCCGCAACGAGCGC